rnacentral:lncRNA from 1 species
GAAAUGCCAGCCCCAUGUGAUGGGGCUGGUAGGAGACAGGGCUCCCAACCUCAGCUUUAAUUCCUGCUCCACUGGAAAUGACCUCUACCUGUCCUGGAGCCAACCCUGGAGCUGCUUACCUCACCCUCUUUUGCCUGAACCAAGCACAUACUCUAGCACCUUCAUCAAACACAGUUGUCCAUCGACACCACAGGGGACUGGUUCCAGGAUCCCCUUGGGCAACAAAAUCUGAGGAUCCUCAAGCCCUCUGUAUAAAAGGACAUAGUAUUUAUGUAUAACCUAUACAUCCUCCCGUACACUUGACCAUCUCUAGAAGACUCAUGAUAACAAAUGUAAAUGCUGUGUAAGAAGUUCCAUUAAAUUGUUUAGGGAAUCAUGAGAAGAAUAAGUCUGUACAGAAGUCUUUUUUUCAAAAUAUUUUCUCUCCAUAUUUGGUUGAAUCCAAGGAUGUGGAACCCAUGGACACAGCUGACAAUAAAGCAUGUUUUUUGAAUUACUCUACAAGUGGAUGCAGAAACAAAUUCAAGAGGGGAACAUUCCUCUAAAGGAUAUAGAUUAAGCCCUAUCAGUACUCUGCCGACUGCUUUGCACACUCACACAUUUCACCCUCACAACCAGCGCCAGAUGGAGUCAGCAUCCUCAUUCAUUCUUGUUUUUAAAUGAAGAAACACAGACUAGAGCUUAAGUAACACUGCAGGCUAUGGGGAAAGAGGAACCCUCCUCCACUGCUGGUAGGAGUGUAGACUGGUGCAACCACUGUGGAAAUCAGUAUGGAGAUACAUACCUCACAGAACUAGGACUGGAAGUCCCAUGUGACCCAGCUAUUCCACUGCUGAGUAUCUUCCCCAAAGAAUUAAAAGAAUCAUACCACAGUGAUUGCCCUGAAAAUAAUGAGGAGUCCAAGAACAAGGUUGAUAAAGAUGGUCAGUUCUGAAGAUGUUCUUCCCAGCUUGCAGAUAGCCACCUUCUUGCUGUGCACACCUGGUGGAGAGAGGAGAUAAUGCAUGUGAGUUCCCUGUGUCUUCUUACAAGGGCGCUGAUCUUUCUGAUCCUUCAGAACCCUACUUUAUGACCUCGUUUCACCUUAAUUACUUCUGUAAAGGCCUUGUCUCUAACUGCAAUCACACUGAAGGUCAGGGGCACAUUCAUUCCAGAGCACUUGCCAAGAAGCACAUGGGUGUCAAGGCAGGGAAGGUUUCAGGUUCAACCCCUGUGAGCUGGUGGAGGUGGUGACCCCAGAGCCACCAUAGCUGAAGCUGGAAGCUGCACAGGGUCUUGUCUGGAGGACUAUUGUCUGAACAUGAACCAAGUGAGCUAUUGUUGGAGCACAAGCAUGGGACCCACUGCUGAAA